GGAACCAAAGUCUGUGUCCCUGGGGUCUGGCUGUUACUCUGCGAGAGUCCACAGAUGGACCUGGGUACUCACUGCUUGCUUAGGCCCAUGCCAGCUUAUAGGAGGGAGAAGAGGACAAAAAAAGGCCACAGUGUGCACCACAGUCCUAAGCAUUGUAGGACAAGGACAACCACCACAGGCUGGAGUAGGCAGGGCUGACUCUGUGGAAGAGGGGCUGCCUCGGCUUCGAGAGAGAAGGCGGGCUCUGGACAGGUGGGAUGGGGAGAGGAGAACAUUUCUCAAUGUGCAGGGUGAAGAGGGGAUAAACAUGGGGGAAGGCUGGUACAUGAUACAAGGCCGUGUACAUGACACAGCCAAGUCUGAGGUUUUCCUGAUAGGCCCUAGGGAGCCAGUGGAGGUGUUUGAGCAGCACUGUGAAACAGUGCUUGAGAUGAAUGGCUCUGCAGGAGCUGAGUUGGAAUAGUGUUUGUGAGGUCGUACCAACCCCCUUGCCUCUUUACCGGUGCUGUCUCCCCUCAGACGGAUUUCAAUGAGCUGGACUUGGAGACACUGGCACCCUAUAUCCCCAUGGACGGGGAAGACUUCCAGCUAAGCCCCAUCUGCCCCGAGGAGCGGCUCUUGGUGGAGAACCCACAGUCCACCCCCCAGCACUGCUUCAGUGCCAUGACAAACAUCUUCCAGCCACUGGCCCCUGUAGCCCCGCACAGUCCCUUCCUCCUGGACAAGUUUCAGCAGCAGCUGGAGAGCAAGAAGACAGAGCCCGAGCACCGGCCCAUGUCCUCCAUCUUCUUUGAUGCCGGAAGCAAAGCAUCCCUGCCACCGUGCUGUGGCCAGGCCAGCACCCCUCUCUCUUCCAUGGGGGGCAGAUCCAAUACCCAGUGGCCCCCAGAUCCACCAUUACAUUUUGGGCCCACAAAGUGGGCCGUCGGGGAUCAGCGCACAGAGUUCGUGGGAGCAGCGCCGUUGGGGCCCCCUGUCUCCCCACCCCAUGUCUCCACCUUCAAGACAAGGUCUGCAAAGGGUUUUGGGGCUCGAGGCCCAGAUGUGCUGAGUCCGGCCAUGGUAGCCCUCUCCAACAAGCUGAAGCUGAAGCGACAGCUGGAGUAUGAAGAGCAAGCCUUCCAGGACCUCAGCGGGGGGGACCCACCUGGUGGCAGCACCUCACAUUUGAUGUGGAAACGGAUGAAGAACCUCAGGGGUGGGAGCUGCCCUUUGAUGCCGGACAAGCCACUGAGUGCAAAUGUCCCCAAUGAUAAGUUCACCCAAAACCCCAUGAGGGGCCUGGGCCAUCCCCUGAGACAUCUGCCGCUGCCACAGCCUCCAUCUGCCAUCAGUCCCGGGGAGAAUAGCAAGAGCAGGUUCCCCCCACAGUGCUACGCCACCCAGUACCAGGACUACAGCCUGUCGUCAGCCCACAAGGUGUCAGGCAUGGCAAGCCGGCUGCUCGGGCCCUCAUUUGAGUCCUACCUGCUGCCCGAACUGACCAGAUAUGACUGUGAGGUGAACGUGCCCGUGCUGGGAAGCUCCACGCUCCUGCAAGGAGGGGACCUCCUAAGAGCCCUGGACCAGGCCACCUGAGCCAGGCCUUCCACCUGGGCAGCACCUCUGCCGACGCCGUCCCACCAGCUUCACUCUCUCCGUCUGUUUUUGCAACUAGGUAUUUCUAAUGCCAGCACACUAUUUACAAGAUGGACUUACCUGGCAGACUUGCCCAGGUCACCAAGCAGUGGCCUUUUUCUGAGAUGCUCACUUUAUUAUCCCUAUUUUUAAAGUACACAAUUGUUUUACCUGUUCUGAAAUGUUCUUAAAUUUUGUAGGAUUUUCUUCCUCCCCACCUUCAAUUACUUCUAAUUUAUAUUAUCCAUAGGUUUCUCUCCCUCCCUCUCCUUCUCACACACAACUGUCCAUACUAACAAAUUUGGUGCAUGUCUGUUCUUCUGUAGGGAGAGCUUUAGCUUCAUUUUACUAAAAAGAUUCCUCGUUAUUGUUGUUGCCAAAGAGAAACAAAAAUGAUUUUGCUUUCCAAGCUUGGUUUGUGGUGUCUCCCUCGCAGAGCCCUUCUCCUUUCUUUUUUAAAACUAAUCAUCAUAUUGUAAAUUUCAGGUUUUUUUGGUUUAAGCUGACUCUUUGCUCUAAUUUUGGAAAAAAAAGAAAUGUGAAGGGUCAACUCCAACGUAUGUGGUUAUCUGUGAAAGUUGCACAGCGUGGCUUUUCCUGAACUGGUGUUUUUCCCCCGCAUUUGGUGGAUUUUUUAUUAUUAUUCAAAAACAUAACUGAGUUUUUUUAAAAGAGAAAAUUUAUAUCUGGGUUAAGUGUUUGUUUAUCAUAUAUAUGGGUACUUUGUAAUAUCUAAAAACUUAGAAACGGAAAUGGAAUCCUGCUCACAAAAUCACUUUAAGAUCUUUUCGAAGCUGUUAAUUUUUCUUGGUGUUGUGGACACUGCAGACUUGUCCAGUGCUCCCACGGCCUGUACGGACACUAUGGAAGGCCUCCCCGUCGGCUUUUUGCCAUCUGUGAUAUGCCAUAGGUGUGACAAUCCGAGCAGUGGAGUCAUUCAGCGGGAGCACUGCGCGCUAUCCCCUCACGUUCUCUAUGUACUAUGUAUGUAUGUAUUAUUAUUAUUGCUGCCAAGAGGGUCUGAUGGCACGUUGUGGGGUCAGAGGGUGGGGCGGGGAAGUGCUCUAACUUUUCUUAAGGUUUUGUUGCUAGCCCUUCAAGUGCACUGAGCUAUGUGACUCGGAUGGUCUUUCACACGGCACAUUUGGACAUUUCCAGAACUACCAUGAGAUGGUUUAGAUGGGAAUUCAUGCAAAUGAGGGGUCGGAAAUGGUAUAGUGACCCCGUCCACGUCCUCCACGCUCACGACCUUGGAGCCCCGUGGAGCUGGACUGAGGAGGAGGCUGCACAGCGGGACAGCAGCUGGUCCAGACCAGCCCUGCAGCCCCCCUCAGCCGGCAGCCAGAUGGCCCCGCCAGGCCUCCAGGGAUGGCCCCUAGCCACAGGCCCUGGCUGAGGUCUGUGGGUCGGGCAGUGACAUGUAGGUAGGAAGCACUGAAAACAGUGUUCCCAGAGCACUUUGCAACUCACUGGGUAGGAGGGAUGACACCUCUGGUUUUUCAAUACCAAUUACAUGGAACUUUUCUGUAAUGGGUACAAUGAAGAAGUUUCUAAAAACACACACACAGCACAUUGGGCCAACUAUUUAGUAAGCCCGGAUAGACUUAUUGCCAAAAACAAAAAGUAGCUUUCAAAAGAAAUUUAAGUUAUCGGAGAAAUUCCUUAGUCAUGGUGUUGCGUAAAUCAUAUUUUAGCUGCACAGAAUUACCCCACACAGGGUGGCAGAACUUGAAGGGUCACUGACAUGUAAAUGCUGGGAUUUGAUUUCCUGUGUGUGUUGCCCUGGCAUUAAGGGCAUUUUACCCUUGCAGUUUUACUAAAACACUGAAAAAUAUUCCAAGCUUCAUAUUAACCCUACCUGUCAACGUAACGAUUUCAUGAACGUUAUUAUAUUGUCGAAUUCCUACUGACAACAUUAUAACUGUAUGGGAGCUUAACUUUAUAAGGAAAUGUAUUUUGACACUGGUAUCUUAUUAAAGUAUUCUGAUCCU
rnacentral:sRNA from 1 species